CCUACGGGAGGCUGCAGUGAGGAAUAUUGGUCAAUGGGCGCGAGCCUGAACCAGCCAAGUAGCGUGAAGGAUGACUGACCUACGGGUUGAAAACUUCAUUUAUAAAGGAGUAAAGUGAGGCACGUGAGCCUUAUUGUACGUACUAUAUGAAUAAGGAUGGGCUAACUCCGUGCCAGCAGCCGCGGUAAUACGGAGAAUCUGAGCGUUAUCCGGAUUUAUUGGGUUUAAAGGGAGCGUAGAUGGGUGGUUAAGUCCGUUGUGAAAUUUUGCGGCUCAACCGUAGAAGUGCAAUUGAGACUGGGCGUCUUGAGUGCAGUUGAGGUAGGCGGAAUUCGUGGUGUAGCGGUGAAA
rnacentral:rRNA from 1 species